AUUGAACGCUGGCGGCAGGCCUAACACAUGCCAGUCGAGCGGAUGAAGGGAGCUUGCUCCUGGAUUCAGCGGCGGACGGGUGAGUAAUGCCUAGGAAUCUGCCUGGUAGUGGGGGAUAACGUCCGGAAACGGGCGCUAAUACCGCAUACGUCCUGAGGGAGAAAGUGGGGGAUCUUCGGACCUCACGCUAUCAGAUGAGCCUAGGUCGGAUUAGCUAGUUGGUGGGGUAAAGGCCUACCAAGGCGACGAUCCGUAACUGGUCUGAGAGGAUGAUCAGUCACACUGGAACUGAGACACGGUCCAGACUCCUACGGGAGGCAGCAGUGGGGAAUAUUGGACAAUGGGCGAAAGCCUGAUCCAGCCAUGCCGCGUGUGUGAAGAAGGUCUUCGGAUUGUAAAGCACUUUAAGUUGGGAGGAAGGGCAGUAAGUGAAUACCUUGCUGUUUUGACGUUACCAACAGAAUAAGCACCGGCUAACUUCGUG
rnacentral:rRNA from 1 species